rnacentral:tRNA from 1 species
CGGGAAGUAGCGCAGCCUGGUAGCGCGCUUGUUUCGGGAGCAAGAGGCCAGGGGUUCAAAUCCCCUCUUCCCGA